GGGUCCAUAGCUCAACGGAUAGAGCACCCGCCUUCGGAGCGGUUGAUCAGGGUUCAAUUCCCCGUGGACCCG
rnacentral:tRNA from 3 species